rnacentral:lncRNA from 1 species
ACGUACUUGUUUUAUAGAUGAGAGAAAGGAACUCAACCAAGGUCACGGGGAGAGCUUGGGAAGCGGCUGCAUGACUGAUUCAGGCCUGUCUGACUCCAAAGCCCGGGGUUUCCAGUGUAAUGGAGAUACUUGCUUUGGGACUGGUCAACACGUUGUGACUGUUUCUACUGUGGGCGUGCUUCAUUGCCAUGGCGCUUGUGACAAUGACAGAGUUGCUGACGAGCCUGGAGUGGACUGAUUUGAGCUGGUUCUUGGCCCAUUCAUCAUUUGUUUAACAGGUGUUUGUGAAGCACCUGCUCUGUGUGGAACACUGCACACAGUUGGCUGCCGGCUCAGCACAUCUCAGUUUGGACCAGCCCCAUUUCAAGUGUUCAAUAACCACAUGUGGCUGUGCGUACCGUGUUGGACAGCACCGUUCCAGACACUUUUGCUGGACAUGCUGUGAAGAGCAAGGCAGAUGUCAUCCUCAGUUGCACACAGUUUAUUCUCCAACAGGGAAAGCAGCCGUUACACAGGUGACUGUUACCACAAUACAUACAAUAAAAACAAAGAAACAAAGACGCCAAGCUAGAGAAAGGCAAGUCCAGACUGCACAUACCCAAAUGAUGGCGGGGGUGAGGCGGUGGGGGGCAAAGAGAUUCAAGGUUUCUCUGUUGUUUUCCCCACUGGCUUUGCAAUUAACUAAUUGUGUCCUUGUGGGCAGGUCAGCUAACCUCUCCCUUCUAGACUCAGAUUUGAAUCAUCACCCACAGCUCCUUGAUUCUAAAGAACCUACCCUAAAAAACAAAACAAAAGAAAGAACCUACUUUUAGCCACUCUGCCCCACUGCCUCCCGUAAUUAUUACUUGAAUGUCUGUGUUCCCACUGUGCUGUAGCUGACGUGAGGCUAGAGACUCUGUCCCUCUCUGUCUCUUCAGCACCAUCCUCGGUGUUUUGGUGAUGAAUAAAUGAACUGAUGAAGUGUGUGAAGGGUAAAGG